rnacentral:rRNA from 1 species
GACGAACGCUGGCGGCGUGCUUAACACAUGCAAGUCGAACGGUGAACCAGAGCUUGCUCCGGGGAUCAGUGGCGAACGGGUGAGUAACACGUGGGCAACCUGCCCCAGACUCUGGGAUAACCUCGGGAAACCGAUGCUAAUACCGGAUACGACCACUUCGGACAUCCGACGGUGGUGGAAAGUUUUUCGGUCUGGGAUGGGCCCGCGGCCUAUCAGCUAGUUGGUGGGGUAAUGGCCUACCAAGGCGACGACGGGUAGCCGGCCUGAGAGGGCGACCGGCCACACUGGAACUGAGACACGGUCCAGACUCCUACGGGAGGCAGCAGUGGGGAAUAUUGCACAAUGGGCGAAAGCCUGAUGCAGCGACGCCGCGUGAGGGACGACGGCCUUCGGGUUGUAAACCUCUUUCAGCAGGGACGAAGCGAAAGUGACUGUACCUGCAGAAGAAGCACCGGCUAACUACGUG